rnacentral:lncRNA from 1 species
UCUGUUGGCGCUUCAUCUUCUGAAAGCUCUGCACCAAGUAGCCCCACAACGUGUUCUACUGGAAAACUACCACUAGACAGUGAUCUUCCAUUUCUUGACCUCAUUGUUUUCUUUGGAAGGACGCAAGCAUUGCUGAGGAGCCAUUUGACCUGCCGCCACACUAAUAUUGUAUUUGGCAAAGCCGAAGGCCUCUGCAAGCAGCCAGUCAUUCCAAGUCUCAACCAAUCCUUCCUCUAGUCAGCCAAUUUCUAGUGUCUAUGCGGAAAGGACUUGCGCAAGAGUGUACACGGGACACUAAAAAAGCGACAAGGACAGGCGUAAACUUCUAACCGGUGUUCAUUACUAAAAGGUAUGUAUAUGUACUCUUGCACACUUGAUCAUAAUCUGUUACAAUCGUGCAAGUCAACAUGGUCAUCACAAAUAAACGAGUGCACCAAGGCCUAAGGCGGCUUCCCGCAUACAGACCCCAGAUAUUCAAAUUCUUUAACAGUCAGU